AGAAUCAACGCUGGCGGCGUGCCUAACACAUGCAAGUCGAACGAGAAAGUGGAGCAAUCCAUGAGUAAAGUGGCGACCGGGUGAGUAACACGUGACUAACCUACCUUCGAGUGGGGGAUAACAUCGGGAAACCGAUGCUAAUACCGCAUAACAUCGCAAGAUCAAAGCAGCAAUGCGCUGGAAGAGGGGGUCGCGGCUGAUUAGCUAGUUGGCGGGGUAACGGCCCACCAAGGCGAAGAUCGGUAUCCGGCCUGAGAGGGCGCACGGACACACUGGAACUGAAACACGGUCCAGACUCCUACGGGAGGCAGCAGUGGGGAAUUUUGCGCAAUGGGGGAAACCCUGACGCAGCAACGCCGCGUGGAGGAUGAAGCCCCUUGGGGUGUAAACUCCUUUCGAUCGGGAAGAUUAUGACGGUACCGAUAUAAGAAGCCCCGGCUAACUUCGUGCCAGCAGCCGCGGUAAUACGAGGGGGGCGAGCGUUGUUCGGAAUUAUUGGGCGUAAAGGGUGCGUAGGCGGUUUGGCAAGUCUUAUGUGAAAUCUAUGGGCUCAACCCAUAGCCUGCAUGAGAAACUGCCGGGCUUGAGUAUGGGAGAGGUGAGUGGAAUUUUCCGGUGGUAGCGGUGAAAUGCGUAGAUAUCGGAAGGAACACCUGUGGCGAGAGCGGCGAGCUGGAUCACUACUGACGCUGAGGAACGAAAGCUAGGGGAGCAAACAGGAUUAGAUACCCUGGUAGUCCUAGCCCUAAACGAUCAGAACUUGGGGUGCCGCCCGUUCGGGCGUCGUCCCGGAGCUAACGCGUUAAGUCCUGCACCUGGGGAGUACGGUCGCAAGACUGA
rnacentral:rRNA from 1 species